UCAUGGAUCAGAAUUCUUCAUCAGAUCAAAAAUAUUAAAAAAAAUUCUUUCAUUGACUAAUCUUUUCAGAGAAAAAAUCGAUCGAGAGAGAGAAAUAAUUUUAGAGAGAGAAAAUUCUAGAGAGAAAAAAUUUUAGAGAGAUAAAUUUAUCUUGGAUUCUUCAAACGAUAUGAUUUAAUAAAUUUGAUCGAUCAGAUUAAAUCAUACUAAAAUU
rnacentral:lncRNA from 1 species